GAAAAAACAGAGACACAAGAAGCACACACGCAAGAGUCAAUUUUCCUGUUUCCUAAGGAAUUGCUGUCUUGUUCGGUCAUCGGUGGUUUUUUAAAGAGUACGAGAUAAAGAUAGAGACGGUGGCUUUGUCAUUGAAAUUCAUGCUCCGAUAUUGUGUCGGGUCAGGGUAAUCGAUCUUACUGGUAGUAUGGAGGAGGUAAAAAGGGAUGCGAUAAAGAACGGUAGACGGUUGAUGAAGAGUUUAACGGAGAGGAACCCUAAGCAGCCACUUUGUUGGAUUGCAUCUGCGAGGUUGGAGGAGGACGCUGGGGAAAUGGAGGCAGCGAGGCAAUUGAUUCAGAAAGGAUGUGAGGAGUGCCCAAAUAGUGUGGAUGUGUGGUUGGAGGCGUGUAGGAUUGCGAUUGCGAAUGCGAGGAUUGAAGCAGGUAAGGUUGUGAUUGCCCAUGGAUUGAAGUUGAUACCCAAUUUGGUGAAGCUGUGGAUGCAGGCUGCAAACUUGGAGCAUGAUGACUCGAAUAAGGGCAGGGUUUUGAGUAGAGGAUUGCAACAUAUUCCUGAUUCCGUUCUGCUGUGGAAGGCGGUGGUUGAGCUCGCCACUGCCGCGAAAUCGAAUGAGGACGAGGAAGAGGAGGAGAAUGCAAAUGCAAGGCAGAGCAUGAACUUGUCUCGAAGCCCGAGAAAGGGGGGAGGCACAGAGAGAGUAUGGAUGAAAUCAGCAAUUGUUGAGAGAGGAUUAGGGAAUGUUGAAGAGGAGAGGAAAUUGCUUGAUGAAGGGUUGAAUAAAUUUUCUUCGUUCUUUAAAUUGUGGUUGAUGCUUGGACAGCUAGAGGAACGGCUUGAUCGUUGGGAAAAAGCUAAGGAGGCUUAUGACUUGGGCCUGAAGCACUGCCCUAAUUCUAUACCGCUCUGGCUUUCUCUUGUUAAUCUUGAAGAGAAUUUGAAUGGGGUGACUAGUGCUCGUGCACCUCACGCUAGCCAGCCAUAAAAAUCCUCACAACCCUCAACUGUGGCUUGCUGCAACUCGAACUGAAUUGAGGCAUGGUAAUAACAAGGAAGCUGAUAUUUUGAUGGCGAGGGCUUUGCACGAGUGUCCCAAUAGUGGUAUCUUGUGGGCAGCAUAUAUUGAGAGUGUGGUACCCCUACCCCCUUCUCAAUGGAUGGCCAAGGUUAUGGAUGCCCUCAGGACAUGUGAUUACGAUCCCCAUGUCAUUGCUGCUGUGGCCAAGUUAUUCUAGCAUCACAGUAAGGUUAAGAGAGCUAGGACUUGGCUCAACAGGGCCGUCACAAUUGCCCCAGAUAUUGGGGAUUUCUGGGCUUUAUACUUCAAAUUUGAACUUCAGCAUGGGACUGAUGAGAACCAGAAGAAUGUUUUGCAAAGAUGCAUUGCUUCACAACCAAAGCAUGGUGAAAAAUGGCAACCUAUGUCCAAGGCCCUGCACAACUCUCACCAACCAACUGAAGCUAUCUUGCAUCAAGUGGUGGCUGUACUCGGCAAGGAAGAGAGCUCGCAGCAGGCAAGGCAGGAGCCCCAAACUGAUAGACUCUAGUUGUCCGUUCUCCGGGCUUCUCCUUUUUCCAGGUUAUAUUUCUUCUAAAAUGUUCUCCAAAGUUGGACCUUUACCAGUAGUUUCACUUGUGGGCAUCCUAUUUAUAUGUUACUCUAUUUACUUAUGAGCUUUUCUCAAUUUCAUUUUUUAUUGCCAAUUGCCUUUGGAUGGUUCGGUGAUGAGGCUUGGCUUGACUUAUUAAUUACUUGUUGUUCCUAUAUAUGUCAUUUUUUACAUAUUCAGUUUUGAGCUGGGUGUUAUUAUGUGUUUUCCUUUAGCUCUUUGUAUUUCCCAUACUCCCCCAUCUAUAUUCGUUCCUUUUGAUAUCAUAAUAUCUAUCUAAUUCCUUCCUCAUGCCUGUGCUUUUCAACUCCGAGAGGAAACUUGAAUUCCUCGCCGGAGAUUAGCUGAAGCAGGUAGUCUGAGACAUCACAGUAAGAGGGCAGGAUUUUGGAAAAUCAUUGUCCUCCAUAGGCAGCGUUCCUUACACUAAUGCAACACGCAAUGGAAAGUAAUAGGUAAGAUUGCUACAGCUUCAAGAUAUAUCGAAAAUGCCCACAGAACCUAUUACAAUAGAUCAAAGCUUCAAUCAGAUGUGAGUAAAAAGUAACAGCAUCAUACAAACUGACGUAAGUUAAAAAAACUGGCUGCAAGCUUUCUUUCCAAACAACUGGCAGUGCAAGAAGACGUUCCUCUGCUUAACUUCAGAAUUAAUCAAGUUAUGAUGAAUGAUGCUGAUCAUGUGAUGUCAAUUACUUUUUGGUUGAUCAUGGGGGUUUGGUUUAUGCACUGUCAUCUGGAUCGGCAUAUGUUAUGGGGCACGGAUGUGAAGUUCAUUGUGAAAACUGGAAAGGGUCUAGGAGCCCAAAUUUUAGCUCCGCCACCAGGAAGGCCUCCAUGCUAAUAAUUUCUAUAAAGCUCUGUCUGGCUGUAUAUAUGUUCAUGGGAUGACAAUAAAUUGGGCCAUGUAAUGCAGUCCUUCCUUGCCUACCAUUAUACUACACUUUGGAAUGC